rnacentral:rRNA from 1 species
CGUGUAGGCGGUUUGUUAAGUCUGAUGUGAAAGCCCCGGGCUCAACCUGGGAAGUGCAUUGGAAACUGGCAGACUUGAAUACGGGAGAGGGUAGUGGAAUUCCUAGUGUAGGAGUGAAAUCCGUAGAUAUUAGGAGGAACACCGGUGGCGAAGGCGGCUGCCUGGACCGAUAUUGACGCUGAGACGCGAAAGCGUGGGGAGCAAACAGGAUUAGAUACCCUGGUAGUCCACGCCGUAAACGAUGAGUACUAGGUGUUGCGGGUAUUGACCCCUGCAGUGCCGCAGCUAACGCAUUUAAGUACUCCGCCUGGGAAGUACGGUCGCAAGACUAAA